AGAGCUGCUCUGUGAGAUGGAAGCUCAGAAGCUUGGAAGCUGCAGCUCAGAGGAGGAGCUUUGUCCUCGAAGGCAGGGCUAAGUCCAGCCAGGUGUUUUGCUCAGUUGAAUGGUUGCCACAAGAGAUUACAGGAUUUCUUAAAUAUGCAUGAAAGGAUCAAAGCAACCAGCUAGGAAUGUUUUUGA